ensembl:piRNA 21ur-3739 ncRNA
UCACAUUAAUCAAAGCCAGUA